rnacentral:rRNA from 1 species
UACGUAGGGGGCUAGCGUUGUUCGGAUUUACUGGGCGUAAAGCGCACGUAGGCGGAUCGAUCAGUCAGGGGUGAAAUCCCAGAGCUCAACUCUGGAACUGCCUUUGAUACUGCGGGUCUCGAGUCCGGGAGAGGUGAGUGGAAUUCCUAGUGUAGAGGUGAAAUUCGUAGAUAUUAGGAAGAACACCAGUGGCGAAGGCGGCUCACUGGCCCGGUACUGACGCGUGAGGCGCGAAAGCGUGGGGAGCAAACAGG